rnacentral:piRNA from 1 species
UGAAUCUUUGGAGCUGGUGCUGCUGUUCUU